CUUAUUAAACUCUUAUCAUAAAAAACUCAUGUAAAACACUUUUCUCCAAAUCACUUUUCUCCGAAAUCACUUUUCUCUGAAAUCACUUUUCCUUCGAAGAUAGUGAAUCUUAAUUGAAAUCACUUUUUCUCCAUUGAAACCAUUGUUUUCCCGAUCAGAAUGGCAACUUCUCCGUCACCGAAACCACUGCUUCUCCUUCAUCAAUCGAAAUCAUCACUUCUCUGUCAUCGAUCGAUAUCCCCUCUUCUCCAUUAUCGAUUGAAAUCGCUGUUUCUUUUUUUCAUAGAUCGGAAUUUUUUUACUUCUCCUUCUUCAUUGGAAUUCACUGCUUCAACUUUCUCUUCAUUGAAAAUCGUUGCUUCAAAUUUCAAAUUAGUUACUUUACCAUUCGAAAUCGCUCACACAUUUCUCAAAACCUAAUAUUCGAGGUAACUGUUUUUUCUUGAAUCAAAUCUCAUAGAAUCACUCAUUCACUCUAGUAAAACUAAUCUGAAGAAUUUCUUUCUCCGGUUCACAUAGUUUCUACCAUAACAAUUCGUUGUUGUUGCGUUUUUUUUAUCUUCGCUACAACGGUGUAUUUUCUACUAUCAUCAAUAUUCUUUUUUCCUGAUUUUAAGGUAUAGUUGAUCUUUUGAUUAGGAAAAUCUUGUGUAUUCGAUAUCCUCUUUGUAAAAUGAGUUUGUAAAAAUAAUUUAAAUGUUUGUUCUUAGAUGCUUAUAUUAAUGUAUAGCACCACCACUACCAGGUUAUGAUGGGAAAGAUGUAGUUGUUGAAAAUUUAAGGCAGCUAUUGUGUUUUCAAGGUGGCAAAAGAAAUAGAAAACUCUUGGAUGUGGUGGGACUAUGUUACUGAUUUUCAAAUCAGAUGCCCGAUGAAGGUGAAAAAGUGCAGUAAGGAAUGUGCAAAUUCCGUCAUUAAAUCUCUGAGUUUUGAUACCGCCAAGAUUGACAAGUGCAUGGGAGAUCCUGAUGCUGGUAUUGAAAAUUCUAUUUUGAAAGAAGACCAAGAUGCCAAAAUUGGGAAGAGAUCAGGUGGUGCUGUUACCAUAUUUCCAACUCUUGUUGUCAAUAACAGACAAUAUCAAGGUUUGUCCUACAUACUCAUGUGAUAGAUUGUAUUAGUAAUUCGUUAUCCAGUUCUAAAAAGAACCUUUCCAAGUGAAUUGGAGAAAGGGGUCGUUCUAAAGGCUAUCUGUUUUGGGUUUGAGGAAACUUCUAACCCAGCUGUUUGUUUGGGAAACGGUAAUUGUUUACUUGCCUUUGUUACAAGGGACAUAUGUUAUGUAGACUAGUUUUUAGACCUCACACUGAUGUUUUUUGGACAGAUGUGGAGACAAAUGAGUGUUUGACAAACAACAGUGGUUGUUAGCAAGAUAAAACAGCUAAUAUCACAUCAUGCAAGUUAAGUAUCUGCUCAAGAUACAUUCCGUGGACAAGUAUGUGAAUUCCCCUUGGUUGAUGGUGUGCAAUUCAAUGGAGGCGGUUAUAAAACUUGUGAAGGUGAAAUGGCUUUCAUCUUUACAUAAAAUUGAUUUCUAAGAGGGCUUAUUAUUGCUGUAUAAUUUUUAUUGGCUUCACUUCUAUGUUGUUCAUAGCAGGUUGUAAUGAUAAUCAUUUACUGUAAGACAUAUGUGAUUUUUUUCCUAGCGUGAACUCGGAGUUGUACGUAACUAGCUAAAUUUAUGCUUACAGUUAGUGGACCUGGGCACUGGAAGAUUAACAAUGGAGGCUGUUGGCAUGAUGCCUGUAACAGCCAUGCAUUUUCUCCUUGUAUUGUUAGUAACCUUUAAGUUUCUUGACUUAUUUAUCUCCAAUAGUUUUUUGUCUUUAAAUGGUUAAAGUUCUAUUGGCUUGUAAAUCCCAAAUUUGAAACUGAAUUGCUACACAAAUUUUUGUCUUCUCUUUUAGUUCAUGGGUUUAAAGAAGAAUUGUGAACUUGAUGAUACCUAGUACUAUAUGUUUUCACUAAAAAAAUCAGAAUUCAUAAGUUGAAUGUUAUCUAUUUCGUCUUGACAGACAUUGAUGAAUGCAAAUAUAAAAAAGCUUUCUAGUGCCUUGAAUGUAGCUGCAAGAAUACUUGGGCGGUUAUAACUGCAGUUUUAGUGGAGAUCUUCUAUAUAUAAAAGACCAAGAUACAUGCAUCAGUUAAAAGCAUGGAAGCUUUGAAAAUUUGGGGAAUGAUAAUCAAUAUAGGUUCUGCUUUUGGUCUUUAUUCAAUGUAUAUUGACCCUAUUUAUAGUGACUCUAAACGUUUGUCAUUUACCGAUUUUGAUAGGGGAUAUUCUCUUCGUUAACUUUCUGUUGAAUUUUUUUUGUAACUAAAUAUUGAGGAAAUCUUAUGGAUCCUUUGAGAUGCAACUCUUAAAAAAAAAAUACUUCAGAAAGUUGUUUUGGGAUAAAUAAGAAAUUUUGUCUAUUUCGAUACGCCCGUGAGCAGCGGUGCAGCGGCUGAUUCCGCGUAUUGGAAGUUGUCGGAGGACCGCAAUUUUUCCGUUUCGACGUGUUUUGGAGAGCUUUGCAAAGCAUCGUAUCCUUGUGGCCUGGCAAAUAGAUAUGAUAGAGUAUUGAAGACCAUUUGGAAAGUGGAUGUUCCUCUUAAAGUAAAGGUUUUUGGAUGGAGAUGUUUCUUAAAUAGAAUUCUUUCAAAAGACUCUCUAGUGCUAAGAGGUAUUCUAAACUCUUCUUCAAAUCUCUCUUGUGUUUUUUGUAAUGAGGAUGGUGAAUCUUUGAUCCAUUCUUUCCUUUCUUGUCGUUUCGCAAAGGAUGUUUGGAAAGAAAUGGCGGAAUGGAUUGGUAUGAAUUUUAAAGUCAUGCUCGAUUUCAAAGAGAGUUUUUGGGAAUGGAGUUCUUAUUGUAACUACAAGAAAGUCAACCAAAAUAAGGUAGGAGUUGUGUGGUUGGCUAUAGUUUGGAGACUUUGGUUGUGCCGUAACGAUAUUAUUUUUAAAAACUCUUCUUGGAUCAAGAGAGAUGUGGUUUGGAGUUGUAAAGAGCUUGCUUGGAGAUGGUCAUACAUAGGGAGAAUUUCUCAACUCAAUUGCAAUUUUUAUGAGUUUAGCAAAAACCCUUUGUUUUACUUAAGUUAGGUUUAUUUUGGUUGUGUAAUUUUCUUUGGUUGGGUAGCUUCUCUCCUUCCUUUUGGGGUGGUUUAGCUAAUAGCCUCUUGUAAUCAAGUCCCUUAGAAUUUUGGUUCUUUUUUAAUACAACUUGCGUAAAAAUAUAUAUAUAUA